rnacentral:rRNA from 1 species
UGCCAGACUCCUACGGGAGGCAGCAGUGGGGAAUAUUGCACAAUGGGGGAAACCCUGAUGCAGCAACGCCGCGUGAGUGAAGAAGUAUUUCGGUAUGUAAAGCUCUAUCAGCAGGGAAGAAGAUGACGGUACCUGACCAAGAAGCCCCGGCUAACUACGUGCCAGCAGCCGCGGUAAUACGUAGGGGGCAAGCGUUAUCCGGAUUUACUGGGUGUAAAGGGAGCGUAGACGGUUGUGCAAGUCAGAAGUGAAAGCCCGGGGCUCAACUCCGGGACUGCUUUUGAAACUGUGAAACUGGAGUGCAGGAGAGGUAAGCGGAAUUCCUGGUGUAGCGGUGAAAUGCGUAGAUAUCAGGAGGAACACCAGUGGCGAAGGCGGCUUACUGGACUGUAACUGACGUUGAGGCUCGAAAGCGUGGGGAGCAAACAGGAUUAGAUACCCCUGUA